UGAAGAGUUUGAUCAUGGCUCAGAUUGAACGCUGGCGGCAGGCCUAACACAUGCAAGUCGAACGGUAACAGGAAGCAGCUUGCUGCUUCGCUGACGAGUGGCGGACGGGUGAGUAAUGUCUGGGAAACUGCCUGAUGGAGGGGGAUAACUACUGGAAACGGUGGCUAAUACCGCAUAACGUCGCAAGACCAAAGAGGGGGACCUUCGGGCCUCUUGCCAUCAGAUGUGCCCAGAUGGGAUUAGCUAGUUGGUGAGGUAACGGCUCACCAAGGCGACGAUCCCUAGCUGGUCUGAGAGGAUGACCAGCCACACUGGAACUGAGACACGGUCCAGACUCCUACGGGAGGCAGCAGUGGGGAAUAUUGCACAAUGGGCGCAAGCCUGAUGCAGCCAUGCCGCGUGUAUGAAGAAGGCCUUCGGGUUGUAAAGUACUUUCAGCGGGGAGGAAGGUGUUGUGGUUAAUAACCGCAGCAAUUGACGUUACCCGCAGAAGAAGCACCGGCUAACUCCGUGCCAGCAGCCGCGGUAAUACGGAGGGUGCAAGCGUUAAUCGGAAUUACUGGGCGUAAAGCGCACGCAGGCGGUCUGUCAAGUCGGAUGUGAAAUCCCCGGGCUCAACCUGGGAACUGCAUUCGAAACUGGCAGGCUUGAGUCUUGUAGAGGGGGGUAGAAUUCCAGGUGUAGCGGUGAAAUGCGUAGAGAUCUGGAGGAAUACCGGUGGCGAAGGCGGCCCCCUGGACAAAGACUGACGCUCAGGUGCGAAAGCGUGGGGAGCAAACAGGAUUAGAUACCCUGGUAGUCCACGCCGUAAACGAUGUCUACUUGGAGGUUGUGCCCUUGAGGCGUGGCUUCCGGAGCUAACGCGUUAAGUAGACCGCCUGGGGAGUACGGCCGCAAGGUUAAAACUCAAAUGAAUUGACGGGGGCCCGCACAAGCGGUGGAGCAUGUGGUUUAAUUCGAUGCAACGCGAAGAACCUUACCUGGUCUUGACAUCCACAGAACUUUCCAGAGAUGGAUUGGUGCCUUCGGGAACUGUGAGACAGGUGCUGCAUGGCUGUCGUCAGCUCGUGUUGUGAAAUGUUGGGUUAAGUCCCGCAACGAGCGCAACCCUUAUCCUUUGUUGCCAGCGAUUAGG
rnacentral:rRNA from 1 species